ACGCAGCCUCGAGCCGCUGCCGUGCCUGCGCGUGGCACUUUGGAGUCAGACUGCCGAGCCGGAGCCCGCACUUGCUCAUAAAUGGGGCCACCUGGCCCCCACGGCAUCGGCCCUUUUAACUAGGAGCCAGCAUC
ensembl:snoRNA